GUACUUCAAGCAUUGUUAGUCUGUAUGUUUGGGGAAUUCAUUAUAUUAUAUUCUAAAAUAUGCCAUCCCUAUAAAAUAGCCAAAAUACUGUACCCCAUCUUUUCAUGUACCCCCACCAAAAUUUGCUGAAACCAGGCAAUCAUUGUAUUGCUCUGUAACCAGUGAACAUAAUGACACCUGAAAAAAAUAAUAUAACAGUGAAACAUAGUUAAAUGGUAGAUUUUAUUUAAGAGAAAUGAGAGUAAGAUUAAUGAAGACAGUCAGAAAUAAAGUUACUGGAUAAAAUUUUCAAAUUUGGAUGAUUCAAUUGAUAAUUAGUCAAGUAAACUAGGAGCCUGGUUUUCACAGAUAAUGUGCACUCACUGAAGUCAAUGGGAGAUACAGGGUUUUAAGCAUCUUUGAAAGUCAGGCCCCUUAUUUAGGUGACUGAUUCUUAGGUCCCAAAUUUAAAAAAUAAUCACCAUUAAGUCUAAGGUAAACAUAGAUUUUCAAAAUCAUUUUUUUAUUAGAUUUAUUAUUCUAUAUUUUAACCCUUUUUUAGAUGAUUCUGUGUGGUGUAACUAUGCCCUGGAUGUAGAUACGACUUAAGAUACUAUUUCAAUUUUUCUAAGAUUAAUUAUCCACAAAGCAGAAAUAGAAAAUAAGAAAGAAAUUUUCUAGUAUAUGCUAAAGAAUACGUGGAUCAAUAUGCACUCAUUUUUCCAUCUCCUUGGAACCUAUUGAAGGCUCUAUUCCACUGACUUAAGAUGGCCAUGCCAGCACCAGUGAAGAAUGGAGAUGGGGGCUGGUACUCUAUUCAACCUACUUCCCCAAGCAUCUCUGGUAAAAUAUUGGUCCUAACAAAGUCAGUGACUUUAAUAGGGCAAAUUUUACCCUUAAUACCCAGCAACUAAAGCUCCCUAUCUUGACUUCUAACGCUCCCUUUCUAGGAUUUACUUAUAAGGAGAACAUGAAGCCCAUCACUCUAGCAUUGGGAAAGCUUUCACAUGCACUGAUUCUUAUCUUUUUCUGGUGGGAAAGCUGUUUCUGCCCUGUGAUUCCUCCAGUUCAGCCUGUCUUGCACAGAGUUACUAAUAUCAUUGCUAACUAUGAGGAACAUAAGCCCCAUUCAGUGAAUGGAAAUCCCGAAACAGCAGGAGUUUUAAAACCAUUUUGAAAAUUCCUCCUUUCCUCCCAAUUUUAACUGGAGGAAAGGAUGUAAAUCAUCCCAAAUUUGCUGGGUUUUUUUUUUUAAUGGAAAUUUCAAAGUCUUAAGGAUGAGUUUCAAACUUGAUUGAAUCUCUCAGAUCAUAGAGCACACAAUCAUACGGUUAGUGAGGGUCAAAAUAGACAUCUGGUUUCUCUUGGAUCUGACUGUCCUGGGCUUUACCUUGCAUCAUGACAAGCGCGGGGACAGUUGUCUACACAUGCACCUUGAAUGGCAAUUAACUCAAAUUAACUCUCCCCAAUUAUUUGGGGAAAAGUGUUAUAUCAGAUAUUUUCUAAGUCCUAAAAGUGGAACAAUGGACUUGUACGUCUGUAGGGUCCCAGAAUAAAAGGCUUUGUCCUGGGAGAAAGCCUACAUGACUUAACACUCAUUAUUGCAGUUGCAUAAAUUUGCAUGGGCAUUCCUGAUACCUCAAAUGUUCCUUGCUCUUACUAAUUAAUUCAGUAUUCAUGCACUACAGUAUGACUUCUUACAAGUAUUAUCAUUAAGACUGUAUCAUGUUGCUAUACAUACUAUUAUUUGUGUGGCCGUAGCAUGUGGCAAUCCUAAUCAGAGAUCAGAGUUCAGUUGUGCUAGGCACAGAACAAAAGAAUGGGCUCUUCCUCAAGGAGUUUACAAAUUAAGAUAUCACCAGGUGAAGGAACUAGGCUUCAGUCAAACCCUUCAGCAUGUAAAUAGCCCCACUGAAGUCACUCGAGUAAAGCUUUGCAAGAUCAGGCCCAUACCUUGUGACUCCUGUUCUGCAAACUACUAUAUAACAUUAAUGGGUGAAAAUUGUUGCAUUGUGGGGUGAUUGUUAUUUUGUGCUGUAAUGGUUGAUACUCUUGAAGUUCAGUGAGAUGCACUGGGAGACAAGGAUAGAUAUACCCUUCUCAUACACAGGGCAUUUUCUACUAGUGGCACUGCUAUGUUCUUUGGACGAAAUUGCUGUAUGUUAUCCACCAAAGGUGGCAGCAAGUUGCGAUGGUAGCUGGCACAGCAGGGGGGAGAAAAAAGCAAUAACCUCAAAAACUAAGUUAUAGGGAAAGGGGCUUUUUCCUCCCUCAUGCUUUAUAUACGGUAAGGGUAAAAUGUUCUAUUUUUUUUAAAGGAAAAAUACACCUCAUGUAAAGCAGGGUUUGCAUUAAUUAUAAACAAGGUGCAUCAUUAAUCUUUUCCAAUGUACUUUACUAGUGGAUUGUACAAUAAAUGUGUGUUUGCUAAGGUGGGUUAAUCCCUUUGUAAUUCACUGGUAUGUAUAACAGUCUAACUUGACAUGGACACAUAGUUGCCAGUACACGCUUAAUUCUCCAGACAUUCUAGCAUGCCAUGUACUGUGAGGAGAGGGAAUUACAGUCCCACAAAGCUCAGCCACUAGAUAAUAGGAAAUAAUGGCGGAUGAUUCAUGGUGGGCAGCUGAUAUUUUAACGGAAAGAUUAAUUAUUCAUUUCAACAGUGAGAAAGUAUAAUUUUAAUGAUUUCAUUAAGCAAAUAAGAAAAAUUAGCAUUGUAUUUAUUUCAGUGCUGGGGCCAGUGCACUGUAUUUAUUUUUCAGUUGUUGCCUUGGAUAAAAAGAAACACAUUGACCAAAAAAGUCAUUGAUUGGCUACUAUACAGUGUUUACAUUGCAUCCAUAGUUUCAAUUGCUCAUGUAAUUACAUGUAAUCACAUGUGAUUAUGCACUAGUCUGAAUGAAUGUGCUUUCCAUUCGCUCAGAUGGAGCUUCUUCGAGAGACACUUUCACAAAGGGGGACAGUCUGUUUAGAGCCAGAUUCUGACACCAUUCCUCUGCUCCAUGAGUAGUUUCAACUGACUUCAUUCUGUUGACUUCAGUGGUACUACUCACGGAGGAUUCCUGCAUCUGGAAAGGGGUAUUGGAAGGUGAAAAUGCAGUAAAACUUUCUUAUAAGGAAGUAGUUUUUUCACAGCAAAACAUUCCUUGGAGGAGAAAUUCACCAAAGUCAGAGCUCCAACUGAUACACUGCGAUGAGCCGAAACAAUUUGAAACUUGCAAGCUACCUACCUAUAUCCCCUCUCCGUUGGAGUUCGGUGUGACUUCCACUGUUUACUACAGGCAACAGUAUUUGGAUCUGAAUCUAGAGCUGGGGGUGCCAUUCUGGUGGGGAGUUUGACUCUGCACCUCUGUACCAUUUUCUAAGCCGGAAGUAGACUUAGGUCUUAAGCAGGGCUAGUCAGAAAAACUUCAGUAGAAUCACUUGCCAUUGGAGAACGGAGCUCUAUCACAAGUAAAACACCUCAUAAAACUGAAAUUUCAUUAAGGAGAAAAUAGAUGAAGAAAUGUUCUGAUACCGUCAACUCAUUCUGUUUCAAAGGUUGCAGUGAUGCACUUGACUUUUCCCUUUCCAAAUGACUGCUUGUUUAGAAUGUUUGAAAUAUGCUAUUGGAUUUUAUACUAGAAUGUAUGAAAAAGUAGAAACUGAAACAGAAUACUUCAUUUGACCCAGAACAGUCUUUUCCAUAGAAUAUUCUGAAAUGUUCUUAUUUCAACAUAAAGUAGUGCAGUCCUUCCCAGAAUGACAUUUCCAUUCCCCAUGCGUCUCGUCUCGCACUUUUCAUAACCGUGCUUGCCGUGAUUUCUGUGAGUAUGUUUUCUUAUGAGGUCAGGACCCUGUUUCUGUGCCUGCACUCGCACCUGCAAAUACUGUGGGCACAAGCAGCCCAACAAAAGAGAAGGGACCCUUCUGAAACAGGACAUUUAAUUAGUUGCUAAAAGAAAUGAACUUCAAAGUUGUGUUGUUGACACUAGUCCUGAAAUGAUCUGUUUAGUUUAAACAACUGUUGUCUCACUUAAAACUGUUCAAGUUCUAAUAAUGUCAUAAUGGCACUAUGAGGCAGACAUGACCUCUCUGAGCAACAUGGUGCAGGUACACUCCAAAGCUCCGCUUUCUCCAUAUGAAUGGAGUUCUUAAGAAUAGGAUGUCAGAGGUGAGAUCCAGUUUGUUCACCUGAGAAGAGAAUUUUGCUCUUGAAAAAAUACUCCAGUGUCCCAAGCUCAGGUCUAUAACUCUACAAAGCAGAAGGAGGGACUGGGUGGUAGGUGAAAAACAAAAAUAUGACUUGAAAUGUACAGAAAUAGGAAUUCAAAAAAAUUGACAAAAGACCAUAUCAUAUAAUUGAUUUUUAAGAAAAAUUCCCCAUUGAUUUUUCAGAACCCCAUUGAACAUUUCAGAACCAUUGAUUUUAAUGAGGAGUUCUGCUUCAAAAUCAAUGGCAUGAUACAGCCCAAAGAAAAUUGCUUUUUAGUAUCAAUAUUCUUUGUUCAGGUUUUCUGCAAUAUAGAAGAGGGUUGGUAAAACAAUGUGUGGUGUUCGUAGCUGUAUAUUCUCCUGUACAUUCUUUCAGUUCUUCUCUUAGUUAGAACCAAAAUGAUUGGAUGCAUUAUGCAAAUUAAAACAGCAGCAGUAUUUAUGGGGCAGAUCCUGUUCUCAUGGGCCAUAUAAUUCUGAUUUUACAUGGAAGCAAAAAGCUGUUCUCCCUUUUAACUGAGGAAACAUGGAUUGCUGGUGAUAGAUGACCCUGAAAAAGAGUCAGGGAUCUGAUCAAUCAUGCUUGGUGCUGCACUGUUCAGAGGCCAAAGCCAAGGAAGGUCCAGAUUUUGCCACUCUUACAAUGAGGUGUUAGCACCUUACUCCAUGAUGACUCCCACCUUACUCCAUGAUGAUUCCCAUGAUGACUAAGCAUGGUGGACUCUGGUUGUGUUUCAUUGGCGGGUCAGAGCUAAGGGGUAUGUAUAGAUGAGAAAAUGAAUGGUGCUUCAUGGAGAAGAGGUAGGAAUAGGGAGACCGUGGGUAAGCUCUGACUUAGUUUCUCUCUCAGGCAGACUGAUGUGGAACUCCUUCAGUUUGUCCCCUCUGGUACAUCUUUCUUUUUCCCCUACAUGAAGGAAGGCACUAAUUGCACUCUUCUGUACCCAAGAGAGGAAAUCUCAUCUGAAUGUGUUACCUUAUUAACUAGACUCUUCUUUCCUUUCCCCUGUAGCCUGUAUUCCAUCUUGUUUAUAUCUAUCUACAUGCAUUUAUGACAAUACAGGGAAAAUAUUCAUUGCUAUAACUGAAUGUCUAGAUGGAUAGAUACAGACAAAUGAAAAUACAUGCAACCUGAUAUAAAUAAUAAAUGUGACUAUAAAGCAGUUUUACUUUCAAUUAAAUGGAACCAUUGUUUUUGGUUCCAAGGAGAAGGACAAUCAGGGCCCUGAACUUAUAUGGCCCUGUCUUGGGAAGACAGAAUAUCUACCAUGGGAUUGUUUGAAAAUGGAGAUGAGUUAUGAAAAAGUUACAGGGUUCAUGGUCUGAAUGCUGCUCUAGGGCAGCAUUCACUAGGUGAAGCGGACUGUAUGCAUUCGAUCCAUAAUAGUUGACCUAGGCUUCAUACACCUAAGUAAUAAGAUCUUAGGUCUGAUGACCUCAGGACUUUUUUCUGUUCUUAUUACCAUCAUAUACUCCCUAAAAACCUCUCCUGCUUCCACUGACCUCAGUGACAAACCUCCAGUUGACUUCAGUGAGAGGAGGAGCAGGAUUAAAUGUAUAUAUGCGUAACUACAUGCAUAUUUUUUUCUUGGUGGGUAAAAGCCAUCCAAUCUAUUAUGAAGACCUGCAAGAGUAUGAGAAUAUGCAUGUAUAAACUCACAAAGAAGUGUGAGAAUGUAGUACAGGAACUGAGCUAAGAUGUUAUUUUUUAUAUUGGGUACAGGUUCAUGAAGUAGAAAAACACAAAAAUAGAAAUGUACAUAAAAAACUGAAAUGUAUGCAUAUUACUUUUUCUUACUUUAUAUAUCUUUAUUUCACAUUUUAAUUCCUAGCAUCUUUUCAGUGAAUGCUACAUUUAAGUAGGACACAUGUAAAGUCAUUCUGGCUACCAGCUUAACAUUUGUUUUAACAGGUGAGUAUACCAAAAAGCCAGGGUUGUGAAAUAUAACUAACUAUGAAUGGAGAUUGCAAAAAGAAAUUACCUAGAAAGCAGAAUUUCUGUAAAUGAAUGUGUUUUUAUUCUAAUGACCAUACAGUUCAAUGCUUGCUGGAAUUGUUUUCACUAAAAAAAACCAUAAAUAUUGGAAAAAAAAAUCUGCCAUAAUUGUAAUAAAGCAUUCAUUAAUUAAUGGCCAUAUUAGAAGUAUUAUUUAUUUUUAGAUAGUAAAUGUCCACUAAGGGCCAGGAUAUAAUCUCAGGUGAAUGGCAUGCAAAGCUGCACAUGUUAUGAAAUAUGUUGCAAGCAAAAUUGGCAUUCAAUCUUGCUCCCAUUGAAGAGUCACUGUUAGCUUCAGUGGGAUCAGGAUUGGUCCCCGGGGCAUUAUUUAAUAUGUACCAGAUGUGGCCACACAUCUGAGAUUUGAAUGUGGCCUGCAGAGUGUAUUGUACAUGUAAAUAUGUUGUCAUACUUGUGAAUGAGGAACCUGUUUCUUUUUGUAGAGGAAUCCUGCAUAUUUAUUGUGACCAUAGUUUGUGAAGAAAAAUGCAACAAUUCAUUUUGAAUCUCUCAACAAUGUUAUUGUUUGGUGUGAAUGUGCCUGCAACAUUGACUCAUGUGCCAAAACACAAUAUUGAAUGCAUUGUUUUUAAAUAAAAAGUUUUAUUGUGCAUUGGAAAUCUGUACAACU